rnacentral:lncRNA from 1 species
AGAAAUAGGGGAGAAAGAAAGAAAGAAAAGAAAAAGGGAAAAUAAGGUUUUAAAGGUUCCAAGUUAAUUUGGUAAGUCAAUUUAGCCCAUUUUCUUAUGAUUUUUGAGUUUUUUUGGAAUCCUAGAGAUAAAUAGUACUUGUUUUAAGUAGAAAUUUUGAAAGUCAUUAGAUUUCUAAGUUUGGUUCAUGUUGAAUAAAAUGAUGGAAUUGGGGGUUUAUUUGAUAGAAAUUUUGAUUGGAAUUGAAUAAAGGAUUGAAUCGUAAACUAAGCUAUAAGUUUUUGAGUUUUAGGGAUUAAAUGGAAAUAAAUUUGAAAUUAUGAAAAUAUGCUGGAAAUUUAAUAGUUAAGUAUGAGUUUGGACAAAAUUUGAAUAGAAAUAAAGUAUGAAUUAAGAUAGAAAAGUAAGAGAAUUUAGUUAGGAUUAAAUUGAAAUUAAAGUAAAUCAACAUUUUGCUCUAAAACUGUCAGACAGCAGAAUAGGGGUGAAUUUAAAGAAUAAACUGUACUUAAUGGCUAAACCAAAAAUUCUGAAAAUUUUAUUGUAAGAAGAUUUGUGAGUCUAGUUUCAGGAAAAAUUAGCGGAUCUUAAUUUAGAAUUCUGUAACUCAAGAUAUGAAUUAGUAAUGUAUUAAUGAUUAUGAAUUGUAUUAAUUUCGUAGUCAAUGUGGUACCGGAAAUCUCGGCUAAGAAAGGACAAGACAAAGUCAACGGGAGUUAGCUCGAAAAUUACGAUUUGUAUUUCUAUAAUCCGAACUCAGUCAUUAUUUGUUAUAUUUAUAUACAUAUGGUAAUUGUUAGUAAUUGAAUUAUGAUGUUUUACAAUUGAAAUGGAUUGAUUUUAGUAUGCGAUGAAUUUAUUGAAUUUAUAUUGAUUGAAAUUAUUUUGAUUGAAAUUAUAUUGAUUGAAUUAUAUAAUAUAUAUGAUUUAUGUAGAAAUUUGAAUAUUGAAUGAAUGUUAUAUUGAAAAAUAUAUUGAUUGGAAAUAUGAGGAAAUUGAUAUGAAUAUAUGAGAUUGUGAUAUUUGAAUAUUUGGUAUUGAAAAGUGAAUUGAAUUGUAUUGAAUUAUGAAUUAAUGUGCAUAAUUGAAAUAUAUUUGUUGAAUUGAAUGAAAUUGUAUGAAUUGUGAAAAUGGAUAAAUAUGUGUAAUUAUCGGAAUGGGAUAUUGAUGAAAGAAUUAUUAAAUUGAGAGAGUGAAUGAAAUGCCCUAUUAACUAGUCGGGCUGAGUCGGAUAUAGUUGGCAUGCCAUAGGAUAUGGAAGUGUACGGGAUUUGUCGGCUUUACUGAUCAGGCACUUUAUGUGUCGUAUUUCAGGCACCUCGUGUGUCGUAUCAGGCACCUCGUGUGUCGUUUUAGGCACUUUAUGUGUCGUAUACUGAUCAGGUACUAUGUACCGUUUUAGGCACAAUGUGCCGUACUGGUGUGUUUGGGUUGGAAUCCGUGUAUCCGUCAAAGUCCGGGUUUGUUAAUAGGGGUAAAUAAGUAAAAGAUAAAUCGAAUAAAUUUGAUUGAUCAAGCUAUUGAAAUGAAACGAGAAAUUGAAUUGAGAAUUGAAAAUUUAUAUGAAAUUGAAAAUAUGAACCAAAGGUUCAUGAAAUGAUUGGAGUUCGAAUUGAUGAUAUAUGACGCCACUUGAUGAAUUGAAAUGUGAUUUGAGAUAUAUGAAUCGUAUGUAUAUACUGAAAGCUAUCAGGGAUAGUAAGUUGAUACGAUAUAAAUGAAAUUGACUGUUAUUGAAAUGAAUUAAAAUGGAAUAUGAUUGAUAAGUAUAUAGUUGAAUAUAGUUUAAUGAUACUGAAUUGUGAGUAAAUUAAGGAAGCUAUACCGAAUAGUAAGUGAAAGAACGGAGUAAAUAGUAAUGGAUUUAUUUAAGAAUUGAACAAUUAUGUUAUUGUGUUUAUUAUAUAAACUGUAUAAAAUUUAUAUGGUAAGUAGUUGAAAUUUAUCUAUGAAUAAAAAAUUGAAUAAUUGUAAUUAUUAUUAUGAUCUUAAGUAUUUGUUAUAUUAUUAAUUGUUCGGAUUACAGAAAUACCACUGAGUAUACCAUACUCAGCGUACGGUUUGUUUCCGUGCGCAUGUUAAGUAAAGAUAGUACGUUGAAUCAGCAUCCCAAGACGAUCCCGAAUUCAUUAAGGUAAAGUAUGUUGAGUAUUGAUAAUGGCAUGUACCUAGGACGUUUUAUGAGAGUCAUUUAGGUUAUAGAAGUAUUGAUGAAAUGAGUAAAUUAUGGUUGGCAACGGUAUGUAGUAUGAAUUUUGAAAUUUACUAAGAAUUCGUAGUGAUUCUAAAUUAGUCCCGAAUUGAAUUUACUGUUUAUAUUGGACCGCGAGGGCCCAUUAAAGGGACGACAUCUUAAAACUAGGAUGUGUGUGAAUAUUUAUUUUAAUUAAUGACCGGAAUUGGACUGUACUGACUGGUAAUGUCUCGUAACCUUGUUCUGGUGACGGUAUAGGGUUAGGGGACGUUACAAAUUAAUGGUAUCAGAGCUAUUCAGGUUUAGCCGAUUCUCGGACUAAAUCGAGCUCGGAAUUGAGUCUAGAGGUACAUGCCAUAAUUGAGUCGAAAUUGAGUCGGGAUCGGAUGCUGAUAUAUUUGUUUGGUACUGUUUUAUAGUGAAAAUGUUAGAGGAAAAUAUCGAUGGUAUUGAUUAUGAAAUGUGUACUGGAGACGAAUAGUCUCGUGAAUUAGAUGAAAACUGAAUCAACAACAUUGGGUAUAAACUCAAUGGGUAAUUAAUUACUGAAUAAUGACUGAUGAAAUAAUAGAAAAAGAAAUGAUAAAUAAUUAUUUAGAAUUAUAACUGAUGUUCUUCAGUGAGUAGAAGAAAUUGUAUCUGCUACAGUAUCUAUCCCUCCUGUUUCUUACUCGGUUCCCGAAGUGCUUCAAGGUAUAGAGCUUGUCUGAACGGGUAAGUUAUCUGCUGUUAAUGAUCUGUACAUGUAUAUAUAUAGUGUGGAUGAAUUGAGAAUUACAGUUGAGAAUGAUCUUGAAAGAACUGAAAUCUGGUUAGAGAAUAUUAUCGGGAUUGUAAAUGAAUUGUUCUGUUCACUGAUUAAAUGUUAGAAGGGUAUGAUAUUUCUGUUAAAAGAUUUAGGUUAUCAGUGGUAGAAAAAUUGAUUAUGUUGUGAUUAAGAAAGGGUUAUUUGGAAAUUUUCUAAGAUGAGUUCUGAAAGAAAUAUAUAUAUAUCAGUCAGAGAUUUCUUGAUCAGAAACAUACAAAAUUCUUGAAGCUUAAACAGGAUCAUAUAACUGCAACUGUGUAUGAAGGGAAUUUGUUUGAUUAAAUAAAUAUAUCAGAGGGUAUAUUCUGAUAGAAACUGUAUGAUACAAAUGGUUUGAAGAUGGUUUAAAUGAAGACAGAAGCUGAAAAAUAUAGAAUAAGGAAUGGAAUAUGUGUUAAACAUGAUUCUCCUGAUUAUUAUCUUAGUGAUUGCUUGAAGAAAAUUGAAAAAAACAUUAUUCAGAGUUCAAGACCGAGUAAUGUAGUUAACAGAGGUAGGUUACCCUGUAAUCUCAGAAAUACGAGUGAAAGCCGAAGUGUGACAAAUGACUUCACUGUAAAAUCUGGAGAAUGAACAUCAGCCAGGGUAUAUGUUAAUUGUAUAUGAGAAGAUUUAUCUCUACCGGAUGUCAUUACAGGUACUUUCUUCUUUAUCGACACUAAUAUGAUUAUUUUAAAUUGAUCUUGGUUUGACUAUUCCUAUGAUUACAUAAGUUCAGUAUCUAUUAAAGAUUUGUCUAUUGAGUUUGCUGAAAUUUUUGGAUUGAAGCAUUAAAAUUUUCAGAUUAGUAUUUAUGGGCUGAUAAAAUCUGCAGGAACUGUUUGAUAAUGAUACUACUAUUUUCUGAUGGAUUUGAUGUUCUUACUGUUUGAUAUAAUCUCAAUAAUGGAAUGGUUAAUUCUGCAUGAUAUGGUGGUAAAUUAUAAGCAGAAGUAUAAUAUGUUGCAAGAUGAAGAUGAUGAAAUGUUUUGUUGAAUUAGAGAAGAUUGAGCUAAUUGUCUAGUGUGAUAUUGAACAUGCCAACACAAAUAUAUGCCGGAAAGGGGUCAUGGUAUUUACCUUGUUUAUGUAUUGAAUAUUAAAGUAUUUAAGUUAAGGUUUAAAUCAGUGGCAAUAGUGCAAGAGAAUUCUAAUGUGUUUCCAAAAGAGUUGCCCGAACUACUGUUGAUUGAAGAAGUUGAAUGUGCUAUAGAUUUUGUAACUGAAAUGAUAGUGAAAAAUAUAUUUGAAAUCAGAGGUUUUCUAAAACUAGUCAGUUAUUACAGAAAGAUGUGGAAUUGGAAUGAUCUGAUAGACAUUAGCAAGGUUCUGAUUAGUUGAAAGCUCAGUUAACUGAAGCAUUAGUUCUGGUUUAGUCUGAAAUCCGAUGAAGAAACUUGUGAUUUACAGGGAUAGCAGUGUUUUAAUGCAAGAAAGAAAAUUAAUGAAUUAUGUUUUGGAAAGUUAGAAUUAUAUGAGAAGAAUUAUUUGAUACAUGAUUCGGAAGUGGUAGCUAUUGUCUUUGCACUAAAGGAUCAUGAUUUGAUAAUUGAAUAUUAUCCAGAAAAAAAAGCAAAUGGAGUUAUGAAUACUCAAAAUUGAAAGUUUUGCUUUGUGUUAUGAGCUAUGAACACUCGAUUGUCAUUAUCUGAUGAUCGCUCAAUUCUAGUUGAAAUAAAGGUUAAACUUACUUCCCUACAGCAGGUCUGCAAGUUCAGAAAUGUGGUAAUGAGUUAUCGGUUAAAUGGAUAUAGUGAUUAAACAUUUCGGAUUGGAUAUGAUGGUUGUUUGCUAUUUAGAAAUAAAAGCUGAACAGAGGGAUUCAGAACUUAUACAGGAGAAUUUGCAUGAAAUUAUAGUAGUACUAUGUCUAUGCAUUCUGGAAGAAUAAGAUGUACAGUGAUUUGAGACAGAUGUAUUGAAGACUGGGAAAAGAAAACCAAUACUUUGAAUUUGCAUAUAAAUGUUUAUAUUAGGUACAGAUAUCUUCAGAACUGUUACAACCAGUGGUGACAUCAGAAUGGAAAUGGGAUAGAAUUUUUAUGGAAACUAAGUUGGAAUUAUCUCUAUUUUUGAAAAAGAAUAUGCGGAGCUGUUUGAUUCGUGAAAUUGAAGAAAAGUGGAAGUAAUUCGAGAUAGACUAAAAGCAGUUUUGACAAACAGAAAUUAUAUAUAGACUUGAAACGUUGGGAUAUUGAGUAUUUUGUUAGUGAUAUGGUAUUUCUUAGAGAUUCACCUUGGAAGAACAUUUUGAAGAUCGGGUUGAAAGAGAAAUUAAGUUCUUGUUCUGUUGGGCUAUGUGAAGUUGUAGGAAAUUCGGACCGGUAAAAUAUUGUUUGGUUUUGCUUCUGAAGUUACAGAAAGUUUAUGAUAAUUUUUCAUGAUUUGAAGCUCAGAAGAUUAUAGAGAUCAAAUCUUUUACAUGUUAUAUCGACAAAGGAUAUUGAGAUUUGACGCAAUCUAUUGUAUGAGAAAGAGCCGGUUGAGAUACUAGCCUGAGCGGUAAUGUCAUAAUAUUGAGGAAGCAAUACGGGAACCGAAAGAAACAGUGAGAUCGUUGAACCCCCACCUCUCUUUUAGGCAAAUUUCGAGGACGAAAUUUCUUAAGGGGGAGAGAAUUGUAACGACCCGAAUUUUACUGUUACGGAAAAAAUGUAUUUUCGGGUCUCCAUUUCUGAAAAACGGAUUCGUAAAUAUUUAUUAAAAAUAUUUACGAAGUAAAAUGAGUGGUUAAUUAGAGUUUAAUUAAGUGAAUUUAAUUUAAUUAAGAGUAAUUAAGAAAAAGGACUAAAUUGAAUAAAUGAUGAAAGUUAAAUUGUAGAUUAAAAGAAAAUGAAGAGGACCAAAAUGGCAAUUAUGCCAUUUGUCCUAAGUGAGGCGGCAUAAACAUAAAAAUCUGAGAUUUUUAUGUGUUAAAAUAUAUAUUAAAUUAUUAUUAUUAUUAAAAGUAAAGUAAAUAAAAAGGAAAUAAAGGAAAGAAACAAAAGAAUAAAAAGAAGGAAGGAAACAAAAUAGCAGGAAAUGAAACAGAGAAGAAACAGGGGAGAAAGAAAGAAAGAAAAGAAAAAGGGAAAAUAAGGUUUUAAAGGUUCCAAGUUAAUUUGGUAAGUCAAUUUAGCCCAUUUUCUUAUGAUUUUUGAGUUUUUUUGGAAUCCUAGAGAUAAAUAGUACUUGUUUUAAGUAGAAAUUUUGAAAGUCAUUAGAUUUCUAAGUUUGGUUCAUGUUGAAUAAAAAUGAUGGAAUUGGGGGUUUAUUUGAUAGAAAUUUUGACUGGAAUUGAAUAAAGGAUUGAAUCGUAAACUAAGCUAUAAGUUUUGAGUUUUAGGGAUUAAAUGAAAAUAAAUUCGAAAUUAUGAAAAUAAACUGGAAAUUUAAUAGUUAAGUAUGAGUUUGGACAAAAUUUGAAUAGAAAUAAAGUAUGAAUUAAGAUAGAAAAGUAAGAUAAUUUAGUUAGGAUUAAAUUGAAAUUAAAGUAAAUCAACAUUUUGCACUAAAACUGUCAGACAGCAGAAUAAGGGUGAAUUUAAAGAAUAAACUGUACUUAAUGGCUAAACCAAAAAUUUUGAAAAUUUUAUUGUAAGAAGAUUUGUGAGUCUAGUUUCAGGAAAAAUUAGCGGAUCUUAAUUUAGAAUUCUGUAACUCAAUAUAUGAAUUAGUAAUGUAUUAAUGAUUAUGAAUUGUAUUAAUUUCGUAGUCAAUGUGGUACCGGAAAUCUCGGCUAAGAAAGGACAAGACAAAGUCAACGGGAGUUAGCUCGAAAAUUACGGUUUGUAUUUCUAUAAUCCGAACUCAGUCAUUAUUUGUUAUAUUUAUAUACAUAUGGUAAUUGUUAGUAAUUGAAUUAUGAUGUUUUACAAUUGAAAUGGAUUGAUUUUAGUAUGCGAUGAAUUUAUUGAAUUUAUAUUGAUUGAAAUUAUUUUGAUUGAAAUUAUAUUGAUUGAAAUUAUAUAAUAUAUAUGAUUUAUGUAGAAAUUUGAAUAUUGAAUGAAUGUUAUAUUGAAAAAUAUAUUGAUUGGAAAUAUGAGGAAAUUGAUAUGAAUAUAUGAGAUUGUGAUAUUUGAAUAUUUGGUAUUGAAAAGUGAAUUGAAUUGUAUUGAAUUAUGAAUUAAUGUGCAUAAUUGAAAUAUAUUUGUUGAAUUGAAUGAAAUUGUAUGAAUUGUGAAAAUGGAUAAAUAUGUGUAAUUAUCGGAAUGGGAUAUUGACGAAAGAAUUAUUAAAUUGAGAGAGUGAAUGAAAUGCCCUAUUAACUAGUCGGGCUGAGUCGGAUAUAGUUGGCAUGCCAUAGGAUAUGGAAGUGUACGGGAUUUGCCGGCUUUACUGAUCAGGCACUUUAUGUGUCGUAUUUCAGGCACCUCGUGUGUCGUAUCAGGCACCUCGUGUGUCGUUUUAGGCACUUUAUGUGUCGUAUACUGAUCAGGUACUAUGUACCGUUUUAGGCACAAUGUGCCGUACUGGUGUGUUUGGGUUGGAAUCCGUGUAUCCGUCAAAGUCCGGGUUUGUUAAUAGGGGUAAAUAAGUGAAAGAUAAAUCGAAUAAAUUUGAUUGAUCAAGCUAUUGAAAUGAAACGAGAAAUUGAAUUGAGAAUUGAAAAUUUAUAUGAAAUUGAAAAUAUGAACCAAAGGUUCAUGAAAUGAUUGGAGUUCGAAUUGAUGAUAUAUGACGCCACUUGAUGAAUUGAAAUGUGAUUUGAGAUAUAUGAAUCGUAUGUAUAUACUGAAAGCUAUCAGGGAUAGUAAGUUGAUACGAUAUAAAUGAAAUUGACUGUUAUUGAAAUGAAUUAAAAUGGAAUAUGAUUGAUAAGUAUAUAGUUGAAUAUAGUUUAAUGAUAUUGAAUUGUGAGUAAAUUAAGGAAAGCUAUACCGAAUAGUAAGUGAAAGAACGGAGUAAAUAGUAAUGGAUUUAUUUAAGAAUUGAACAAUUAUGUUAUUGUGUUUAUUAUAUGAACUGUAUAAAAUUUAUAUGGUAAGUAGUUGAAAUUUAUCUAUGAAUAAAAAAUUGAAUAAUUGUAAUUAUUAUUAUGAUCUUAAGUAUUUGUUAUAUUAUUAAUUGUUCGGAUUAUAGAAAUACCACUGAGUAUACCAUACUCAGCGUACGGUUUGUUUCCGUACGUAGGUUAAGUAAAGAUAGUACGUUGAAUCAGCAUCCCAAGACGAUCCCGAAUUCAUUAAGGUAAAGUAUGUUGAGUAUUGAUAAUGGCAUGUACCUAGGACGUUUUAUGAGAGUCAUUUAGGUUAUAGAAGUAUUGAUGAAAUGAGUAAAUUAUGGUUGGCAACGGUAUGUAGUAUGAAUUUUGAAAUUUACUAA